rnacentral:rRNA from 1 species
GAACGAACGCUGGUCUUCAGGCCUAACACAUGCAAGUCGAACGGUAACAGGAAGAAGCUUGCUUCUUUGCUGAUCAGCGGCGGACGGGUGAGUAAUGUCUGGGAAACUGCCUGAUGGAGGGGGAUAACUACUGGAAACGGUAGCUAAUACCGCAUAACGUCUCAAGACCAAAGAGGGGGACCUUCGGGCCUCUUGCCAUCAGAUGUGCCCAGAUGGGAUUAGCUAGUAGGUGGGGUAACGGCUCACCUACGCGACGAUCCCUAGCUGGUCUGACAGGAUGACCAUCCACACUGGAACUGAAACACGGUCCACACUCCUACGGGAGGCAGCAGUGGGA